rnacentral:lncRNA from 1 species
UUCAUGUUCUCUUUCCUUCCACUAUCAAGUAGGUUCCCUGUUUGUGUGCUGAUGGUCCAGUGUAGCUACCAAAGUGCCCAACAGACAAAAGAACCUCAGUAAAUACCUUGGAGAAUGCUAAGUGAAUAUAAUAUCACAGGUAUCGCCACUGAAAUUACAGGUGACAUGAUAAUCAUUUUUCCACCAAGGAGGUGAGAUCAUGGAGUCCCAAACAUUUACAUUAGGCUCACAUGCUGCUUUCUACGCUUGCACAGAUGUUGCUCCAGCACCCAAGGUCCUAACCGCAAAUGUCAUCUGGUUUGACAGUGCACUGAUAAAGGCAGAGGAGGUGCUUUAUAAUCAUCCCUGUCUCCUGAAGUUCUGGGCCACAGUCUUCCUCAGGAAGACUCCUCGCUCACCAGCGACAUGAAAGAUGGCCAGCACUUGAGUCCUAGAGCAGAUGGGGUUCUGCUGUGGUGCACCCACUCCUGCCUCUUGGGCCACAGCACUCAGCAGACACUUCGACGUCUUACAUUACCUCUACAAGCUGUGUAGAUUGUUCUCCCUCAUCACUGACCAAACACACUGAACUUCACAAGGUCCACUCUAAGAGCUUCACUCCUUGUGAAAUGAAGAGCAAAGAAUACUGUUUUACUUACAGCUUCUGAGUGGGCAUUGAACAUCUCUGUAGCUCUUGUGUAGUUUUUUUUUUUUUUUUUGUCUUUUGGGAGUGUGAUUUGCCAUAGAAUCUAUAGGAGCAUUUUACUGAAAUAGGCUGUUCUCCUUCCCGGAGACAUCAUAUUGUACCUGCAUUUUCCAAGUUUCUCGGGAGAUAUGUAUAUUCAGCAUCACUGUGAAGGCAAAAGAGUGAAUUUUGAUAAUAAAUUUCAUCCAAG